rnacentral:sRNA from 1 species
UUAGGGUUUUAGCGUCUUCGGACCAGGCUUCAUUCCCCCCAAUUGUUGCUCCCUGUU